GUUGUAUGGUUAAGUGACUAAGCGUACACGGUGGAUGCCUUGGCAGUCAGAGGCGAUGAAAGACGUAGUAACUUGCGAUAAGCCCAGAUUAGGUAGUAACAACCAUUUGAGUCUGGGAUUUCUGAAUGGGGAAACCCACGUGCAUAAGCACGUAUCGUUAUGUGAAUACAUAGCAUAACGAGGCGAACCGGGGGAACUGAAACAUCUAAGUACCCCGAGGAAAAGAAAUCAACCGAGAUUCCGAAAGUAGCGGCGAGCGAAAUUGGACUAGCCCUUAAGCUUUACACGCGUUAGACGAACGGUCUGGAAAGUCCGACGAUACAGGGUGAUAGUCCCGUAGUUGACGACGUGUGUUCAGUGAAAUCGAGUAGGGCGGGACACGUGAUAUCCUGUCUGAAUAUGGGGGGACCAUCCUCCAAGGCUAAAUACUACUGACUGACCGAUAGUGAACCAGUACCGUGAGGGAAAGGCGAAAAGAACCCCUGUGAGGGGAGUGAAAUAGAACCUGAAACCGUGUACGUACAAGCAGUAGGAGCAGGCUUUGUCCUGUGACUGCGUACCUUUUGUAUAAUGGGUCAGCGACUUAUAUUCAGUGGCAAGGUUAACCAUCUAGGGGAGCCGUAGGGAAACCGAGUCUUAACUGGGCGUUCAGUCUCUGGAUAUAGACCCGAAACCAGGUGAUCUAGCCAUGGGCAGGUUGAAGGUUGAGUAACAUCAACUGGAGGACCGAACCGACUAAUGUUGAAAAAUUAGCGGAUGACUUGUGGCUAGGGGUGAAAGGCCAAUCAAACCUGGAGAUAGCUGGUUCUCCCCGAAAGCUAUUUAGGUAGCGCCUCGGACGAAUACUACUGGGGGUAGAGCACUGUUAAGGCUAGGGGGUCAUCCCGACUUACCAACCCUUUGCAAACUCCGAAUACCAGUAAGUACUAUCCGGGAGACACACGGCGGGUGCUAACGUCCGUCGUGGAGAGGGAAACAACCCAGACCGCCAGCUAAGGUCCCAAAUUACUACUAAGUGGGAAACGAUGUGGGAAGGCUCAGACAGCCAGGAUGUUGGCUUAGAAGCAGCCAUCAUUUAAAGAAAGCGUAAUAGCUCACUGGUCGAGUCGGCCUGCGCGGAAGAUGUAACGGGGCUAAGUAGUAAACCGAAGCUGCGGCAAUAUACUUUUGUAUAUUGGGUAGGGGAGCGUUCUGUAAGCGGUUGAAGGUGUGUGGUAACGCAUGCUGGACGUAUCAGAAGUGCGAAUGCUGACAUGAGUAACGAUAAAGGGGGUGAAAAACCUCCUCGCCGGAAGACCAAGGGUUCCUGUCCAACGUUAAUCGGGGCAGGGUAAGUCGACCCCUAAGGCGAGGCCGAAAGGCGUAGUCGAUGGGAAACGGGUUAAUAUUCCCGUACUUCUUACAAUUGCGAUGGGGGGACGGAGAAGGCUAGGUGGGCCUGGCGACGGUUGUCCAGGUUCAAGUGCGUAGGCUUAAGAGUUAGGUAAAUCCGGCUCUUUUUAAGGCUGAGACACGACGUCGAGCCACUACGGUGGUGAAGUCAUUGAUGCCAUGCUUCCAGGAAAAGCCUCUAAGCUUCAGAUUGUAAGGAAUCGUACCCCAAACCGACACAGGUGGUCGGGUAGAGAAUACCAAGGCGCUUGAGAGAACUCGGGUGAAGGAACUAGGCAAAAUGGUACCGUAACUUCGGGAGAAGGUACGCUCUUGACGGUGAAGUCCCUCGCGGAUGGAGCUAUUGAGAGUCGCAGAUACCAGGUGGCUGCAACUGUUUAUUAAAAACACAGCACUGUGCAAAAUCGUAAGAUGACGUAUACGG
rnacentral:rRNA from 1 species